rnacentral:rRNA from 1 species
CCGAAUGGGGAAACCCAGUGUGAUUCGUCACACUAUCAUUAACUGAAUCCAUAGGUUAAUGAGGCGAACCGGGGGAACUGAAACAUCUAAGUACCCCGAGGAAAAGAAAUCAACCGAGAUUCCCCCAGUAGCGGCGAGCGAACGGGGAGGAGCCCAGAGCCUGAAUCAGCAUGUGUGUUAGUGGAAGCGUCUGGAAAGGCGCGCGAUACAGGGUGACAGCCCCGUACACAAAAGCGCAUGUGCUGUGAGCUCGAUGAGUAGGGCGGGACACGUGGUAUCCUGUCUGAAUAUGGGGGGACCAUCCUCCAAGGCUAAAUACUCCUGACUGACCGAUAGUGAACCAGUACCGUGAGGGAAAGGCGAAAAGAACCCCGGCGAGGGGAGUGAAAAAGAACCUGAAACCGUGUACGUACAAGCAGUGGGAGCACAGGUUUACCUGUGUGACUGCGUACCUUUUGUAUAAUGGGUCAGCGACUUAUAUUCUGUAGCAAGGUUAACCGUAUAGGGGAGCCGGAGGGAAACCGAGUCUUAACCGGGCGUUAAGUUGCAGGGUAUAGACCCGAAACCCGGUGAUCUAGCCAUGGGCAGGUUGAAGGUUGGGUAACACUAACUGGAGGACCGAACCGACUAAUGUUGAAAAAUUAGCGGAUGACCUGUGGCUGGGGGUGAAAGGCCAAUCAAACCGGGAGAUAGCUGGUUCUCCCCGAAAGCUAUUUAGGUAGCGCCUCGUGAAUUCAUCUCCGGGGGUAGAGCACUGUUUCGGCUAGGGGGCCAUCCCGGCUUACCAACCCGAUGCAAACUGCGAAUACCGGAGAAUGUUAUCACGGGAGACACACGGCGGGUGCUAACGUCCGUCGUGAAGAGGGAAACAACCCAGACCGCCAGCUAAGGUCCCAAAGUCAUGGUUAAGUGGGAAACGAUGUGGGAAGGCCCAGACAGCCAGGAUGUUGGCUUAGAAGCAGCCAUCAUUUAAAGAAAGCGUAAUAGCUCACUGGUCGAGUCGGCCUGCGCGGAAGAUGUAACGGGGCUAAACCAUGCACCGAAGCUGCGGCAGCGAACGUAUCACCCAAGACAACUUUACGGAGUUGACGAUUGACGGAGCGAAGCGACGUCAAAGCGUUCAUUAAAGUCGAGUUGGCUUAGGGAUACGUUCGUUGGGUAGGGGAGCGUUCUGUAAGCCUGUGAAGGUGUGUCGUGAGGCAUGCUGGAGGUAUCAGAAGUGCGAAUGCUGACAUAAGUAACGAUAAAGCGGGUGAAAAGCCCGCUCGCCGGAAGACCAAGGGUUCCUGUCCAACGUUAAUCGGGGCAGGGUGAGUCGACCCCUAAGGCGAGGCCGAAAGGCGUAGUCGAUGGGAAACGGGUUAAUAUUCCCGUACUUGGUGUUACUGCGAAGGGGGGACGGAGAAGGCUAUGUUGGCCGGGCGACGGUUGUCCCGGUUUAAGCGUGUAGGUGUGUGUUCCAGGUAAAUCCGGUUCACUUUAACACUGAGGCGUGACGACGAGGCACUACGGUGCUGAAGCAACAAAUGCCCUGCUUCCAGGAAAAGCCUCUAAGCAUCAGGUAACAUCAAAUCGUACCCCAAACCGACACAGGUGGUCAGGUAGAGAAUACCAAGGCGCUUGAGAGAACUCGGGUGAAGGAACUAGGCAAAAUGGUGCCGUAACUUCGGGAGAAGGCACGCUGACACGUAGGUGAAGUGAUUUACUCAUGGAGCUGAAGUCAGUCGAAGAUACCAGCUGGCUGCAACUGUUUAUUAAAAACACAGCACUGUGCAAACACGAAAGUGGACGUAUACGGUGUGACGCCUGCCCGGUGCCGGAAGGUUAAUUGAUGGGGUCAGCGCAAGCGAAGCUCCUGAUCGAAGCCCCGGUAAACGGCGGCCGUAACUAUAACGGUCCUAAGGUAGCGAAAUUCCUUGUCGGGUAAGUUCCGACCUGCACGAAUGGCGUAAUGAUGGCCAGGCUGUCUCCACCCGAGACUCAGUGAAAUUGAACUCGCUGUGAAGAUGCAGUGUACCCGCGGCAAGACGGAAAGACCCCGUGAACCUUUACUAUAGCUUGACACUGAACAUUGAGCCUUGAUGUGUAGGAUAGGUGGGAGGCUUUGAAGUGUGGACGCCAGUCUGCAUGGAGCCGACCUUGAAAUACCACCCUUUAAUGUUUGAUGUUCUAACGUGGACCCGUAAUCCGGGUUGCGGACAGUGUCUGGUGGGUAGUUUGACUGGGGCGGUCUCCUCCUAAAGAGUAACGGAGGAGCACGAAGGUUGGCUAAUCCUGGUCGGACAUCAGGAGGUUAGUGCAAUGGCAUAAGCCAGCUUGACUGCGAGCGUGACGGCGCGAGCAGGUGCGAAAGCAGGUCAUAGUGAUCCGGUGGUUCUGAAUGGAAGGGCCAUCGCUCAACGGAUAAAAGGUACUCCGGGGAUAACAGGCUGAUACCGCCCAAGAGUUCAUAUCGACGGCGGUGUUUGGCACCUCGAUGUCGGCUCAUCACAUCCUGGGGCUGAAGUAGGUCCCAAGGGUAUGGCUGUUCGCCAUUUAAAGUGGUACGCGAGCUGGGUUUAGAACGUCGUGAGACAGUUCGGUCCCUAUCUGCCGUGGGCGCUGGAGAACUGAGGGGGGCUGCUCCUAGUACGAGAGGACCGGAGUGGACGCAUCACUGGUGUUCGGGUUGUCAUGCCAAUGGCACUGCCCGGUAGCUAAAUGCGGAAGAGAUAAGUGCUGAAAGCAUCUAAGCACGAAACUUGCCCCGAGAUGAGUUCUCCCUGAGACUU